rnacentral:rRNA from 1 species
UGACUUUGAUUAUGGCUCAGGAUGAACGCUGGCGGCGUGCCUAAUACAUGCAAGUCGAACGAAACUUCUUUAUCACCGAGUGCUUGCACUCACCGAUAAAGAGUUGAGUGGCGAACGGGUGAGUAACACGUGGGCAACCUGCCCAAAAGAGGGGGAUAACACUUGGAAACAGGUGCUAAUACCGCAUAACCAUAGUUACCGCAUGGUAACUAUGUAAAAGGUGGCUAUGCUACCGCUUUUGGAUGGGCCCGCGGCGCAUUAGCUGGUUGGUGGGGUAAAGGCUUACCAAGGCAAUGAUGCGUAGCCGAACUGAGAGGUUGAUCGGCCACAUUGGGACUGAGACACGGCCCAAACUCCUACGGGAGGCAGCAGUAGGGAAUCUUCCACAAUGGGCGAAGGCCUGAUGGAGCAACGCCGCGUGGGUGAAGAAGGUCUUCGGAUCGUAAAACCCUGUUGUUAGAGAAGAAAGUGCGUGAGAGUAACUGUUCACGUUUCGACGGUAUCUAACCAGAAAGCCACGGCUAACUACGUGCCAGCAGCCGCGGUAAUACGUAGGUGGCAAGCGUUAUCCGGAUUUAUUGGGCGUAAAGGGAACGCAGGCGGUCUUUUAAGUCUGAUGUGAAAGCCUUCGGCUUAACCGGAGUAGUGCAUUGGAAACUGGGAGACUUGAGUGCAGAAGAGGAGAGUGGAACUCCAUGUGUAGCGGUGAAAUGCGUAGAUAUAUGGAAGAACACCAGUGGCGAAAGCGGCUCUCUGGUCUGUAACUGACGCUGAGGUUCGAAAGCGUGGGUAGCAAACAGGAUUAGAUACCCUGGUAGUCCACGCCGUAAACGAUGAAUGCUAAGUGUUGGAGGGUUUCCGCCCUUCAGUGCUGCAGCUAACGCAAUAAGCAUUCCGCCUGGGGAGUACGACCGCAAGGUUGCAACUCAAAUGAAUUGACGGA